AUUGAACGCUGGCGGCAGGCCUAACACCUGCAAGUCGAACGAGUGGCGGACGGGUGAGUAAUGUCUGGGAAACUGCCUGAUGGAGGGGGAUAACUACUGGAAACGGUAGCUAAUACCGCAUACCAUCGGAUGUGCCCAGAUGGGAUUAGCUAGUAGGAGGGGUAACGGCUCACCUAGGCGACGAUCACUAGCUGGUCUGAGAGGAUGACCAGCCACACGAGAACAGAGACACGGUCCAGGUGCCUACGGGAGGCGGCAGUGGGGAAUAUUGGACAGUGAGCGCAAGCCUGAUGCAGCCAGGCGGGGUGUAUGAAGAUGGCCUUCGGGUUGUAAAGUACUUUCAGCGGGGAGGCGUUACCCGCAGAAGAAGCACCGGCUAACUCCGUGCGAGCAGCCGCGGUAAUAC
rnacentral:rRNA from 1 species